rnacentral:rRNA from 1 species
UACGUAGGUGGCUAGCGUUGUCCGGAUUUACUGGGCGUAAAGAGCGCGCAGGCGGUCGUUCAAGUCGAGUGUGAAAGUCCCCGGCUCAACUGGGGAGGGUCACUCGAUACUGAUCGACUCGAAGGCAGGAGAGGGAAGCGGAAUUCCCGGUGUAGUGGUGAAAUGCGUAGAUAUCGGGAGGAACACCAGUGGCGAAGGCGGCUUUCUGGCCUGCUCUUGACGCUGAGGCGCGAAAGCUAGGGUAGCAAACGGG